CGCUGCAAGGCGAAGGCUGUAGAGGUGAGGGUUCCCAUCUCUUGCUCUAUUGUGGCGCAAUCUAUUGUCUCAUAUGUGGCCGGCACAAGAGGCUUGAUCAUGUUCAAAAUGUGUUAUAUAGUGAAACAAAAUGUGGUUUUGGGUUCUAUUCUCACCGGCUGGAUUUAUCAUGAACGUUAGCAGCAGGGGAGGUGCGGAGUUAAUAGUGGUGCUUACGGACCAGGUGCAACUAUGGAAGUUCCAUGCAAGUAUAAUGCUCCAAUGAAUGCAGAAACUUUUGGCAGAACCGAAGGUUAAAUCCAUGAUACUACAUUGGGAUCAAGAGAAAGCUUCAGACAUGUUUAACUCUUUUGACAUCAUUCUUGCAAGUGACUGGUAUGUUAUAACUCUUAUCACUUUACUGCUCUUGAAUACUAAUCUAUCAACCACCUGUGUGAAGUGUCUUUCCAUGUAUCCAUGAUAUCCUGUAGUAUGGAACUCUGAGUGAGCUUCACAUUACAAAAUGCUUGUAACCAGCUAGUGUUAUUGUCUAGAUGAAAACGUGAGAGCUCCUUUUAUUGUGAGGAAAACUCCUUUAGAAAAUGCAUCUUAAAAAUGUUUGUUAAUUGCAUCUGCCCUUCGACCAGACCCUUCUUUGAUAUGAAUUCGAUCAAAAUAAAGAAAUGGUUAUACUUGUAUUUUCCCAUCUGAAGAAUCACUUUUCAGUGCAAGCAGGCUAGCUGCAAGUCAAGUCAGACACCAAAAUAAAAACAACAGGCAUUGACAGAUUUUUGUUAUUGUCAUAUUCACAUUUCACCUGUCCUGCAGCACAUUUUUCAAGCACUUCCAUCAAAGUCUUGCCCGGCUAGUCAAAUCUUGUUAAGCGUUCAGAAACCUCACAGGCAAUUUUUAUGAGCCCGAAGAGAGGUGACUCACUCAACAAGAUCCUGGAAAAACAAAUUAGUGUGUCUUUCUUUAUUUGAGUCAUGCUAUCAUAUCUUUGUUGAGUAUUUUGGCUCUCUUUAUUUCUGCCUAGAGUACUUGCAUCAUAUGUAGUUCAUUUCAGGCAUUUUUUGGGGGGCCAGAUCUAUGUCUGUUCAAAGAGAAGCAUGUUUCAUAUUCAGGCGACUGUUUUGUACCAAAAUUUCAGGCGCCUGUUUUACUACACAAAAACAAGCGCCUGUACAUUAGACAGACCCCCGGCUCCAUCGCCUCUCCGGCCGCUCCUCCACCUGGAAAACAUUUUACCGGGUCAUCAAGGCGGACCAAUCCUCUGCGCCGACGCGAGUACCUCCCGUGUCUCCAUCCCGUGCAAGCAUUCUAGCUGGAGCUCCUUCAUAACCCGUGCUACGAAUUGAAACGUUAUAAGUCACAACCAGGGACGGAGGCAGAAAAAAUACAUAGGAAGGGCCAGAAUAGAAGAGAUGAUUUAUUGGGGGACCGAAGCAUACAAACUGAAUCUUAUAAGAUAAAAUUUCAAAUGUUAUGAAGGGGCUUAAUUAAAAAUUUCAAAUCUUAGGGAGGGCUAGGGCCCGUGCUGGCCUGGGUGCUGCCUCAGCCCCUGAUUACAACAUCAUGCGCUCUGGUAAGAAUUAAAACACUGAGAUUUUGUAACAACUAAGAGCAUUUCUAUCAGCAUAUCCAUAUUUGGACAAAAUA